rnacentral:rRNA from 2 species
AAACCAACAGGGAUUGCCUCAGUAACGGCGAGCGAAGCGGCAAAAGCUCAAAUUUGAAAGCUAGCGUCUUUUAGGCGUUCGCAUUGUAAUUUGAAGAUGGCAACUUUGGUGGCGGCUCUUGCACAUGUUCCUUGGAACAGGACAUCAUAGAGGGUGAGAAUCCCGUACAUGGUGGGAGUACCGUUGCUUUGUAAAGUGCUUUCUAAGAGUCGAGUUGUUUGGGAAUGCAGCUCUAAGUGGGUGGUAAAUUCCAUCUAAGGCUAAAUAUAGGCGAGAGACCGAUAGCGAACAAGUACAGUGAUGGAAAGAUGAAAAGAACUUUGAAAAGAGAGUGAAAAAGUACGUGAAAUUGUUGAAAGGGAAGGGCUUGAGAUCAGUCUUGGCUUGUAGUGAUCAACUGUGUUUCGGCACUGUGCACUCGCUACUUGCUGGGUCAGCAUCAGUUUUGGUGGUAGGAUAAGAACAGUUGAAUGUGGCUUUUCUUCGGGAAAGUGUUAUAGCUUCUGUUGAUACUGCCAACCGGGACUGAGGACCGCGCUUCGUGCUAGGAUGCUGACAAAAUGAUCUUAAGCCAC